rnacentral:misc_RNA from 1 species
UCAUGUGAAAACCAGCUAUAUACACAAGCUGUCGCAUACACCACGUAAUUUGAGUUUGGGAAGCCUGUGAUGGCGCUCGCCCACUCACUCACUCCAUUCUAAUUUUUAAACCUGGUUAAACAUUUUCUCCUACGUCCCCUGCUAAGUAUUGUUUUUGUCCAAGAGUGCUCAGUCGGCUUCAGAAAGGUUCUUUGACGAAGGGGGACUAGAAAGGCGUACAUUUUUGCCCGAUAAAUCGAGAGCCUGGGUACGAGUUUGUCGAACACCUCGAAAAUUGAAGUCGGACAUUUUGGUUUCAUAUGAUUUUCUUUCGUAAAUAUGUUGUUUUUUGCCUAUCGGCUUUUGCUCCGCGUAGAUGAAAGCUGUUAGAGGUAUUUAUAACCGUGGUCGUGCAUCGUUCACAACGACAUGGUCGGCGAGGUCAAAGAAUUGAUACAAGACACCCAUGAUGACAAAGCCAGAAAGUGACAUCGUGAUUAGCAUAUGGGGGAAGUUAAGCUCUUAGCUUUUUUUCUUGGCAAGAGAAUUUGAUGGUUUCCACUCGCUUUCUCUCGUUGUGGCGUCCAAGAGGCAAAAUUAUGGAUGCAGAAGAGGCAAGAAAGGCUACGGUGGAAAAUCGCAUCUCGUGUUCGUGCAAAAGCGCUUGUUGCACGAAACAGAAAACAAAUGCAAAUCGUGGCUGCCCUUGCAAGAUGUGAAAGUGAGUGUACGUGUGGUGCGACAGCAAAUCCGUGCCGAAAACACGGCUGGUGCAAGUACAACUUCAUUUGUGGCUGAAGAACACAGCCAUACCAGAGUGACAACAGGCCAAGUGAAGAGCAGGACAGGAUAAAAUAAAAUAGAGAUGUGAGGGUCUGCCUGUAUAGAAAUAUAUUUUUAUUUAUUUCUUUAUUGGUAUUUAUUCCAAGAACAAAACUAUGCCUAAAUACCGAAAAGACCACAAAAAUCAAAGCUCGAACACCAAUUCAAAUGCAUAAAGUUUAGCAAGGCAAGAUUUGUUUUGUUCCUACACUUGAUUUUUAUAUUUCUAGGCCCACUUGGCAAAACUCUGUGCUUGCUAGCAAGCUGUCAAACUUCUUUGACACAGUUGUUGGCUCUACGUAAAAUAAAUCAAUUACUUAAUUUUGUCAGCGCAAAAUAUUUUGCAAUACUGUACUUUAUUGGUGAUUACCUCCAUAAUGUUCUUCUAGGAAGUCAUUCAAAUGCUUGAUGAAGCAAUGUGUGCAAGCCGUGUGCCAGAAGCCUGCCUAGAAAAA